CUACGUGCCAGCAGCCGCGGUAAUACGGAAGGUCCAGGCGUUAUCCGGAUUUAUUGGGUUUAAAGGGAGCGUAGGCGGACGAUUAAGUCAGCUGUGAAAGUUUGCGGCUCAACCGUAAAAUUGCAGUUGAAACUGGUUGUCUUGAGUGCACGCAGGGAUGUUGGAAUUCAUGGUGUAGCGGUGAAAUGCUUAGAUAUCAUGAAGAACUCCGAUCGCGAAGGCAUAUGUCCGGAGUGCAACUGACGCUGAGGCUCGAAAGUGCGGGUAUCGAACAGGAUUAGAUACCCUGGUAGUCCACGCAGUAAACGAUGAUAACUGGGCGUAUGCGAUAUACAGUAUGCUCCUAAGCGAAAGCGUUAAGUUAUCCACCUGGGGAGUACGCCGGCAACGGUGAAACUCAAAGGAAUUGACGGGGGCCCGCACAAGCGGAGGAACAUGUGGUUUAAUUCGAUGAUACGCGAGGAACCUUACCCGGGAU
rnacentral:rRNA from 1 species